ACCCGUCUACACUAUAGCUGCUCCUGAUCCCAGAUCCAGGUUCAACUCCGCUCUCCAACCUGCUCUCACGACUGAUAAAUAGACAGGAGGUGAAACUCAAGAUUCCAUCGGGCCCCCAAGAUACAAGAAGGACUGAUGAAAGAGCCGGAGAACUUGGAAGGAGAGAGUGCUGGAGAAUGUGAUCUGGGUUUAAGUAAUGAACUCUCAACCUAAACA